rnacentral:rRNA from 1 species
UUGAACGCUGGCGGCAUGCCUUACACAUGCAAGUCGAACGGUAACAGGUCUUCGGAUGCUGACGAGUGGCGAACGGGUGAGUAAUACAUCGGAACGUGCCCGAUCGUGGGGGAUAACGCAGCGAAAGCUGUGCUAAUACCGCAUACGAUCUACGGAUGAAAGCAGGGGACCGCAAGGCCUUGCGCGGACGGAGCGGCCGAUGGCAGAUUAGGUAGUUGGUGGGAUAAAAGCUUACCAAGCCGACGAUCUGUAGCUGGUCUGAGAGGACGACCAGCCACACUGGGACUGAGACACGGCCCAGACUCCUACGGGAGGCAGCAGUGGGGAAUUUUGGACAAUGGGGGAAACCCUGAUCCAGCCAUGCCGCGUGCAGGAUGAAGGCCUUCGGGUUGUAAACUGCUUUUAUAUGUCAAGAAAAUGACGGUAGCAUAUGAAUAAGCACCGGCUAACUCCGU